rnacentral:rRNA from 1 species
CCUUAGAGUUUGAUCCUGGCUCAGAACGAACGCUGGCGGCAGGCUUAACACAUGCAAGUCGAACGCCCCUUUCGGGGGGAGUGGCAGACGGGUGAGUAACACGUGGGAACGUACCUCUUUGUUCGGAAUAACUCAUGGAAACGUGAGCUAAUACCGGAUACGCCCUUUUGGGGAAAGAUUUAUCGCAGAGAGAUCGGCCCGCGUCUGAUUAGCUAGUUGGUGAGGUAAUGGCUCACCAAGGCGACGAUCAGUAGCUGUUCUGAGAGGAUGAUCAGCCACACUGGGACUGAGACACGGCCCAGACUCCUACGGGAGGCAGCAGUGGGGAAUAUUGGACAAUGGGGGCAACCCUGAUCCAGCCAUGCCGCGUGAGUGAUGAAGGCCUUAGGGUUGUAAAGCUCUUUUAUCCGGGAAGAUAAUGACUGUACCGGAAGAAUAAGCCCCGGCUAACUUCGUGCCAGCAGCCGCGGUAAUACGAAGGGGGCUAGCGUUGUUCGGAAUCACUGGGCGUAAAGGGCGCGUAGGCGGACGAUUAAGUCAGGGGUGAAAUCCCGGGGCUCAACCUCGGAAUUGCCCUUGAUACUGGUUGUCUUGAGAUUGGAAGAGGUAAGUGGAAUUGCGAGUGUAGAGGUGAAAUUCGUAGAUAUUCGCAAGAACACCGGUGGCGAAGGCGACUUACUGGUCCAUAUCUGACGCUGAGGCGCGAAAGCGUGGGGAGCAAACAGGAUUAGAUACCCUGGUAGUCCACGCCGUAAAC